rnacentral:rRNA from 1 species
GUGAACGCUGGCGGUAGGCCUAACACCUGCCAGUCGCACGGCAGCACAGUAAGAGCUUGCUCUUCCGGGUGGCGAGUGGCGGACGGGUGAGGAAUACAUCGGAAUCUACUUUUUCGUGGGGGAUAACGUAGGGAAACUUACGCUAAUACCGCAUACGACCUACGGGUGAAAGCAGGGGAUCUUCGGACCUUGCGCGAUUGAAUGAGCCGAUGUCGGAUUAGCUAGUUGGCGGGGUAAAGGCCCACCAAGGCGACGAUCCGUAGCUGGUCUGAGAGGAUGAUCAGCCACACUGGAACUGAGACACGGUCCAGACUCCUACGGGAGGCAGCAGUGGGGAAUAUUGGACAAUGGGCGCAAGCCUGAUCCAGCCAUACCGCGUGGGUGAAGAAGGCCUUCGGGUUGUAAAGCCCUUUUGUUGGGAAAGAAAAGCAGCAGGUUAAUACCCCGCUGUUCUGACGGUACCCAAAGAAUAAGCACCGGCUAACUUCGUG